rnacentral:rRNA from 1 species
GGAGGAAAAGAACUAACAAGGAUUCCCCUAGUAACUGCGAGUGAAGCGGGAAAAGCUCAAAUUUAAAAUCUGGCAGUCACUGGCUGUCCGAGUUGUAAUCUAGAGAAGUGCUACCCGCGCUGGACUGUGUACAAGUCUCCUGGGAUGGAGCGUCAUAGAGGGUGAGAAUCCCGUCUCUGACACAGACUACCAGGGCUUUGUGGUAUGCUCUCAAAGAGUCGAGUUGUUUGGGAAUGCAGCUCAAAAUGGGUGGUAAAUUCCAUCUAAAGCUAAAUAUUGGCGAGAGACCGAUAGCGAACAAGUACCGUGAGGGAAAGAUGAAAAGAACUUUGGAAAGAGAGUUAAACAGUACGUGAAAUUGCUGAAAGGGAAACACUUGAAGUCAGUCACGUUGGCCAGGGAUCAGCCUCACUUCUUUGUGUGGUGUACUUCCUGGCUGAUGGGUCAGCAUCAAUUUUGACCGCUGGAAAAAGGCUUGAGGAAUGUGGCAGCUCUGGCUGUGUUAUAGCUUCUUGUCACAUACAGCGGUUGGGAUUGAGGAACUCAGCACGCCACAAGGCCGGGUUUCGACCACGUUCGUGCUAAGGAUGCUGGCAUAAUGGCUUUA